rnacentral:rRNA from 1 species
CAAUAGCGUAUAUUAAAGUUGUUGCGGUUAAAAAGCUCGUAGUUGGAUUUCUGCAUGGAAGGAGCGGUCCACCCAUUGGGCGCGUACGGCUACCUUUGAUGCAUCUUUCUGAGGACGUGUUCUUCACUUAAUUGUGAGGGCGCAGGACUCAGGACAUUUACUUUGAGGAAAUGAGAGUGUUUCAAGCAGGCAAAUGCCUUGAAUACGUUAGCAUGGAAUAAUAGCAUCGGACCAUCGUCCAGCUGUUGGUGUCUGGGCGAAGGUAAAGGUGAAUAGGGAUUGUUGGGGGCAUUCGUAUUUAACUGUCAGAGGUGAAAUUCUUGGAUUUGUUGAAGACGGACCACUGCGAAAGCAUCUGCCAAAGAUGUUCUCAUUGA